CUCUGCCAGAGUGAAGAAGAAGAGCCAGGGCCGGAGGUUCAGUUACUGCCCAAAGUUGCCAACGGUCAAGAUCAAGGUGUUCAAGAGCAGAGUGGAACCAGAGAGCCACCCCGCUCAAAAGGAGCUGCCUUCGCAGCGUUUCAGCACCUCUCGAGUUGCGCUGGAUGAUGAUCAUGCUGUCCCAUUCAUUCCCCAACCUGAGG